GGCGCCUGGCAGUAAGUGAGAAGCCUUUGGUGGGUGAGCGUUGUCGGGGUGAUCCUCUCCCAGACACUAGCGUGGCGGGAUACAAAGGAAGUGUGUGGGCAGUCACUCUUUCCUGGCCGAGCAGUGUGCCAUUUGGCGUGGAUAUCCCAGUGUGAAGGCGUGGUGUGGCGCGGGGCGAGUCAGGCGAGUGUGGUGCGAGUGUUGGAGUCAGCUGAGUGUGGCGGCGGCGGCCAGAUGGUGAGGCUGAGCACUGGCCAGGUGAUGCUGAGUGUGCUGUGCUGUGCUGUGCUGAGUACCCGGGUGUAGGCACGGCUGCCGAACCCCCAUCACCUUCAUCUCCCCUACCUAAAGCAGCAUCCCUCGGCGGUGCUGUGUGUGCUGAGCAGCAGCCCCAGGUGCAGGCACGGACGGCUGCCUUCCCGUCGUCCUCGGCCCAGCACGCCCGUGGCCGCCCCGCCCCGCCCCGCCCCUCCUGCUGCCCAUGUGAGGCUGCAUCUACGGGCCGCGGUGUCCCCUGUGCGGGCACGGCCUCCAGGCGGGGCUUAACGCGGGCGGCGGUGUGUUCACCACCCCGCCCAUGGCUCUCGUGGGCACGCGCUCCAGCAGUGGGCGGCAGCACAUGAUGGCGGGCGUGGGGGAGCGAGGCGUGGGCGUGGUGCCCCCCGCCCACAACGCCGCUAUCCUCGCAGCCGCUCAGCCCAGCUACUAUGCCCACUUGGACCCUCGGGGCGGCGCGCCCCAGCCGGGCACGGGCGUGGGGGCCAUCCACGCCCACCACCCCCACCACAGGACCAGCGGCGCCUCGGCCCAGCAGCAGCAGCCCCCUCAGCAGGCCGGGGCGGGCGGCGUGGGCGGGCAGCAGCAACAGCAGCAGCAGCAGCCCCACCACGGCCAGACGGCCACGCCCUCGCCCACCAGCAGCAACGAGGUCACGCCCGACAGACCCAUCGGCUACGGGGCCUUCGGCGUGGUUUGGGCGGUGACGGACCCUCGUGACGGUCGCCGCGUGGCCCUCAAGAAGAUGCCCAACGUGUUCCAGACGCUCGUGUCCAGUAAGCGAGUCUUCCGGGAGCUGCGGAUGCUGUGUUUCUUCAAGCACGAGAACGUGUUAUCCGCGUUGGACAUAUUGCAGCCUCCACACCUAGACUUCUUCCAAGAGAUUUACGUCAUCACGGAGCUCAUGCAGAGUGACCUCCACAAGAUUAUCGUCUCGCCGCAACACUUGUCCGCCGACCACGUCAAGGUGUUCCUCUACCAGAUACUGAGAGGCCUCAAGUACCUCCACUCGGCAAGGAUCAUCCACAGAGACAUCAAGCCGGGCAACCUACUCGUCAAUUCCAACUGUGUACUCAAGAUCUGUGACUUCGGGCUGGCGCGGGUGGAGGAGCCUGACGAGAGCAAACACAUGACGCAGGAGGUGGUGACGCAGUACUACCGCGCCCCGGAGCUUCUGAUGGGCGCGCGCCACUACACGCAGGCCGUCGACGUGUGGUCCGUGGGGUGCAUCUUCGGCGAGCUCCUGGGCAGACGCAUCCUCUUCCAGGCGCAGAGUCCCGUCCAGCAGCUUGAGAGGAUAACAGACCUCCUCGGCACCCCCAACCUGGAGGACAUGAAGUACGCGUGCGAGGGCGCUGUGACCCACAUGCUGCGCCGCCCCUCCAAGCCCCCCGCGCUGCCCGCCCUCUACACCCUCUCAAACCACGCCACCCACGAGGCCGUCCACUUACUCACCCAGAUGCUCGCCUUUGACCCAGACAAGCGGUUGACGGUGACGGAGGCGCUGGCCCACCCCUACCUGGAUGAGGGGCGGCUGCGCUAUCACUCCUGCAUGUGCAACUGCUGCGCGUCAACCUCCUGCGGCAGCCGGCAGUACACCAUCGACUUUGAGCCAACCGCGCCGCACGCCUUCGACGACACCUGGGAAAACGAGCUGCGGUCCAUGUCGCAGGUGAAGGACCGGCUGCACAAGUUCAUCAUGAGCCACCUGGCGCGGGACCGAGUGCCUCUCUGCAUCAAUCCCAUGUCGGCCGCGUACAAGAGCUUUGCUAGGUCAGCCUGAGCUUGUGAUUUAUGAGGCAGGAGAGAUAGCGGCACCCUGUAGUAGCCUUAGGGUCAGCGCCACACAGCCCAACACAAUCCGAUACAGUCCAGACCUCGUGAACUCCCAAACCGAACGUGAAAUGCUAUAGAAAUUCCUGGUGCGUACGGUGUUUGGUGUUGGUCUAGGGCAGCGCAGUCCCCAGUGUUUUUGCCCAGGCGACCCUUUUCUCAAAAUCUAUAGACUCAUGCGCCCCGAACCUUUUAAUAUCAGUAGUCUUUUUAAACACAAAUUUUUUGAUACAUGCGCUAACAAAAUUGUAGACUCAUGCGACCCUUGAUAUCAGUAGUCUGUCUUAACACAAUUUUUGAUACACAUGGUAGCAAAAUCUAUAAACGUAUGCACCCCGAACCCUUGAUAUCAGUAAUCCGUUUAACACUAACACUAACAUUAACAUUUUUUGAUACACACGCUGAUUUUCACCCACACACCAGGCCUUGACAUGCCCCAAAAGAUACCCUAAUGUCCCCUCCCAACACUCACUAGCAGAAACACACACCUCCAGAAUGAAAGCUUGGUAAACAACUGCAAAAUGAUAAGUUAUACAAAUCAUUCCCCCAAGCCAUUUCUAUCAAGGUUUUGGACCCCCUCUCCCACCCCGGCCAAACCUCAAAACAAUAAGCUAUACAAAUCAUUCACCAAAGCCAUUUCUAGCAAGCUAAACCUCCAACGAUGGGCUAUUAAAAUCACUCGCCUAAGCCAUUUCUAUCAAGGUUUUGGACUCCCUCCCACUCCAGCCAAGCCUCAAAGCGAUAGGCUAUUAAAAUCAUUCGCCAAAGCCAUUUCUAUCAAGGUUUUGGAUUCCCUCCCACUCCAGCCAAGCCUCAAAGCGAUAGGCUAUUAAAAUCAUUCGCCAAAGCCAUUUCUAUCAAGGUUUUGGACUCCCUCCCACUCCAGCCAAGCCUCAAAGCGAUAGGCUAUUAAAAUCAUUCGCCUAAGCCAUUUCUAUCAAGGUUUUGGACUCCCUCCCACUCCAGCCAAGCCUCAAAACGAUAAGCUAUUAAAAUCAUUCGCCAAAGCCACAUCUAUCAAGGCUUCAGACUCCUCCUCACACCCCGGCCAACCCUCCCUGACCCCCUGGGAAUCCAUGGUACAGAAGGCAAUAUUUCCCAGGAUACCACUCACAGGAAAUCAUAAAAGUCAUAAAAAAGGAGGUGGGGGCCAUUAGGGAUAGUCUCGUCAGGCUCGGGAGUUGUUUAUAUCGCUGUGUUGGGCGGUGGCGCUGGCCCUGAGUUAGCCGUAGAUGCCUGACCCGGCCCCUGAUAGAUUGAUCCGUAGACCUGUGUGUAGUGUUGACAGGCGGUGGUGGUGGUGGUGGUGGUGUGGUGGUGGAGGUGGUGGUGGUGGGUGUCCACUCUGCCCCAUCCAUGUCUUGUCCCCCCCUCCCCUUUUUUUUUUUUCAAUAUGCAUUCGUUCCUUCCUGACGGUCUGGUUUUGUUGACGGUUUUUAUCAUUCUCUUGUUGUUUUCUUUCCUAAUGGUUUGGUUAGUGAACAGACAGACAGACAGACAGAUAGUGAACAGACAGACAGAUAGAUAAACAGACAGACAGAUAGAUAAACAGACAGACAGAUAGACAGAUAGUUAAACGCACUGACAGACAGACAGACAAAGAGGGAAUCAGGGACGUACUUUUUACCUAAUUAAGUGAUGCCGUUCUCUGUCUGACUGACCUGACAAUAGAGUUUUUACUUAGCUCAUAUCAGUCAAGUUUUAAUAUUUCUUUUUUAAACAUACCCAGAACUCAAAAUCAUCUCCAUUUCUGAACAUUUUCUUCAGCUUGGGUUAAAUUAUCAAGGAAUUUUGGGGUUUUGGGUUGUUAAGGUGGUAGGCGGAGGUGCAUGGAUAGCCAGGAGAGAUCAUUAACUUUUAUUUCACUACUUUAUACUUAUUUUCAACUUAUCUCUCCAUCUUUCUGUAUCACGAGGCAUCUUUUCACGGCAUGGGAUUUUACGCUGACCAGGAGAGGUGUGGGAGUGAGCCGAGAUAAGCCAUAUGUCUAGGUCUUGCGUUACUGAAUUCCUCUAAUCUUCUCCCUAUUCUUAUCUCAUUUAUCUCCAUCUCACCGUUGUCAGAUUAUCGUACUCGGAGCAUCACAUAUCCCGGCUUCUCGCCGUUUAGAUAUCACCAGGAAACCAGAAGAAUUAACCAUUUCAAUGAUAACAACAUAAAAAGCCAGUUAUUGAGGGACAGGAGACAGCUUUGGGGGUUUGGAAAUUGGGAAAUAUGAGCAAUUGAGGACAACAAUCUGGCAGUGUUGCUCUAUCUUCUUUUAUCGUGUCAUCUUCCGUGGCGAGGCAAUUUUGAGUUGACCGAUGGAUGGAUACCCAGAUAUAAUUUGCAGGUCAUGUAGAGUUGGCCAUAUGUCUGUAGGUCUUGUGUUACUGUAUUGUGUCUAUCUUCUCAUUAUUUCUAUCUCAUUUAACUCUGUCUAUUUUUAUCGCAAGUCAUCAUUCCGUAGCGAGGUAAUUUUGAGUUGACCGAUGGAUGGAUACCCAGAUAUAAUUUGUAGGUCAUGUAGAGUUGGCCAUAUGUCUGUAGGUCUUGUGUUACUGUAUUGUGUCUAUCUUCUCAUUAUUUCUAUCUCAUUUAACUCUAUUUUUAUCGCAAGUCAUCAUUCCGUAGCGAGGUAAUUUUGAGUUGACCGAUGGAUGGAUACCCAGAUAUAAUUUGUAGGUCAUGUAGAGUUGGCCAUAUGUCUGUAGGUCUUGUGUUACUCAUUAUCUUUAUCUCUGUCUUUCUUAACCUUGUCAUCAUCCGUGGCGAGACAAUUUUGAGUUGACCGAUGGAUGGAUACCCAGAUAUAAUUUGUAGGUCAUGUAGAGUUGGCCAUAUGUCUGUAGGUCUUGUGUUACUGUAUUGCACUUCUAUUCUCAUUUUUAUUAUCUCAUCUCUAUCUAUUUUUAUCUUGUCAUCAUCCGUGGCGAAGCAAUUUUGAGUUGACCGAUGGAUUGAUACCCCGAUAUAAUUUGUAGGUCAUGUAGAGUCGGCCAUAUGUCUGUAGGCCUUGUGUUACUGUAUUGCACUUCUAUUCUCAUUUUUAUUAUCUCAUCUAUCUAUUUCUAUCUCGUCAUCAUCCGUGGCGAAGCAAUUUUGAGUUGACCGAUGGAUGGAUACCCCGAGAUAAUUUGUAGGUCAUGUAGAGUUGGCCAUAUGUCUGUAGGUCUUGUGUUACUGUAUUGUGUUUAUCAUCUCAUUAUUCUUAUUUAUCUCUGUUUUUUUAUCAUGGAUACCUGAGAUAAUUUUUAGGUCCUGUAGAGUUGACGCUGCAAUUAUUUCUAUCUGCUUAUCAUUUUUAUUCCAUUUAUUUAUCUCUCCUAUCUUAUCGUCAUUCCGUGGUGAGGCAUUUAAAGGUGACUGAUAGAGGCUCCCGUGUGAGUAGCCAAAUCAUUUUAUCUAUCAUUUUCUGCUUCAUUUAUCUAUCCAGGUUUUUUUUAUCACAAGUUCUCGUCAUUCCAAAGCCAGGCGUUUUAAGACACAAUUAUUUCUAUCUUUAUCAUCCCUUUCUCUUAUCGUCAUUCCGUAGUGAGGCAUUUUAAAGUGACUGAUAGGCGCUCUCGUGUGAGUAGCCAAACUAUUUUAUCUAUCAUUUUCUGCUUCAUUUAUCUAUCCAGUUUAUUUAUCACAAGUUGUCAUCAUUUUCAAAGCGAGGCGUUUUAACCCAGUAGCUGCGGGGAUCAUGUUUCUUAAUGGUCCCUCUGAGCGAGAAAAAUGAGAAAAAAUCAUCACUCACACAAACCAUUUCAUAAUAUAUAUCACAGCAUUUUGGGGGGGUUUAUAUCAUGGCACAAAUUUGGCCUGUCGCUGCUACACGGUAAAGCCACAAAUUUGGCCCGUCGCUGCUACACGGUAAAGCCACAAAUUUGGCCCGUCGCUGCUACCGGGUUAAGAGACUGACAGAGGGGUGUGAGACUCAUCGGUGCUGACGUUAUGUACUUCAGGGGUUGACAUCAUCAGCUGACAGGCGGCUGAUCUUUGGGACUGACUUACUCAUGCUGACCUAACUCACUCACUCACUCACCUAAUGUUCCUUCCAGACUUUUGAUAACUGUAAGAUAAGCACAUGUUUAGAGGGACAGUCAGCCAGUCAGCCAGUCAGUCAGUCAGUCUGUCAGUCAGUAUUCUGUCUAUGAGGGGACCAAACUUUAUUACAUAUUCUAAAAGACAGUCACUCAGUCAGUCAGUCAUUUUAUUAUUCUGUUGGAAAGUGGACCAAAUUAUCACGUAUUUAUAGUCAGUCAGUCAGUCAGUCAAUCAGUCAAGUCAUUUUACUGUUUUGACAAAGGACCAAUUUUCAUCAACUCUCCUUUGCAUAAUUAAAAUUGCAAAGGGAAGCAACACAUAUUUUCAGCAAGUCAGUCAGUCAGUCAGUCAGUCACUUUCCAUAUUCAGUCUUCAAGUGGACCAAACUAUCUCCGCUCUCUUAGUUAAAAUUGCAAAAGAAAGCAACAUGUUUUUUUUAGCAAGUCAGUCAGUCAGUCAGUCAGUCAGUCAGUCACUUUCCAUAUUCAGUCUUCAAGUGGACCAAACUAUCUCCGCUCUCUUAGUUAAAAUCGCAAAAGAAAGCAACUUAUAUUUUUUAGCAAGUCAGUCAGUCAGUCAGUCAGUCAGUCAGUCACUUUCCAUAUUCUGUCUUUAAGUGGACCAAACUAUCUCUGCUCUCUUAGUUAAAAUCACAAAAGGAAGCAACAUAUUUUUUUUUAGCAAUUCAGUCAGUCAGUCAGUCAGUCACUUUCCAUAUUCAGUCUUCAAGUGGACCAAACUAUCUCUGCUCUCUUAGUUAAAAUCACAAAAGAAAGCAACUUAUAUUUUGUAGCAACUCAGUCAGUCAGUCACUUUCCAUAUUCAGUCUUCAAGUGGACCAAACUCUCUCAUCUCCCUUAUUUAAAACAUUGAAGGAAAGCCGCACAUAUAUUUCUCUCCUUCACCCUACAAGGAGAAGCUUUGCAUGUGGCUGCUAACCUUAAGAAACAGAGGCUAACACACUGCUCACUUCUCUCCUGGUUAUGCAUGCAUCGCUCCCUUCCUCUCUAUCUCUCUGUCCCUCCCUCUCUCUCUUCCUCCAGCUGGUAUGAAUGCAUCGUGGGUUAAGGCACUUGGGUUAGCACAAGGUCCAUUUUAAUACACUUUCGACCCUCACAACAUUGAUUUCCCAAGGCCACAGAGGGGUUAGUCAGGUUCCCAUGAGUGUUUUGUCAAGUUCAUGGUGCAGAGGCCUUGUCAAACUAUCACUAGGCUCGUAAAACUACCCACAAAGCCUCAACGAAAGCCUUGUUAAACUGUCACUAGGCUCUUAAAACUACCCAUGGCAAUACUAACACAGCAACCUCUACCAAAGCCUUGUUAAACUAUCGCUAGGCUCAUAAAACUACCCACAGAGCCUCAACAAAAGCCUUGUCAAACUAUCACCAGGCUCAUAAAACUACCCAUGGCAAUACUAACACAGCAACCACUACCAAAGCCUUGUCAAACUAUCACUAGGCUCAUAAAACUACCCAUGGCAAUACUAACACAAAAACCUCUAAGAAAGCCUUGUCAAAUGUAUGUGUGAGCCUUGAAAUGUCUGUGAAUAUGGACGUAAAAGUGUUAAACUGCCAUAGCGGAAAUUACGUAGCAGAAGAAGUAGAAAGGUGAAGAUUAGAAGGAAAAUAUAGAUAGGAAGAAGAGAAGGGAAAGGAAGGAAAGGAGGAUGUAGAAGGGGAAUAGAGAGGUAGAAGGAAGGAAGGAACGAAGGAGGGAAGGAAAAGAAAGAUAGGAAAAGGAGGUAGAAAGGAAGGAAAGAAAGAAGGAAGGAAGGAAAGAAGGAAGAAAGAAAGGAAGGAAAGAAAAGAAAAAAAUAUGAUAACAGAAAAAUGAAUGGAUAUCACUUACCAUGUGUGUGUGUGUGUGUGUGUGCGUAUAUGCGUCUCGCCAGGCUAUCAGGUCGGCACAAACAAACAAACAUACAUACACUCCCUUGACACAUGUUGGAACACGUUUUUGGUUUAAGUCGUAGCAUAGUGCACAUAACAUUAUUAACAAAAGUAACAUAAGUAUCGGUUUGCGUUCUAACAUUGACUCGGCACAUUCCUCACCUCGCUCCUUAUUUGGUAGCCUCAAGGAAGGAAGGAAUGACCCCCCGCCCCCCCUAGAAAAAAUAUAUGCCCCCCCCAUAGCAUACAAAUCUUCAAAACCAAUUAUUAUUUUUCCCCUAAUGCUCGCUGUCCCUCACCAAAACAAAAUAAACAGCCCAAUUUUUUGUAUACAACCUUCAAUGUUUCUUACUCUGUUAAUAAAGUAAUGGAAUGAU